rnacentral:rRNA from 1 species
UACGUAGGGGGCGAGCGUUGUCCGGAUUUAUUGGGCGUAAAGAGCUCGUAGGCGGUUUGGUUAGUCGGGUGUGAAAUCUCCAGGCUCAACCUGGAGGGGUCAUUCGAUACUGCCAUGACUAGAGUUCGGUAGGGGUGUGUGGAAUUCCUGGUGUAGCGGUGAAAUGCGCAGAUAUCAGGAGGAACACCGGUGGCGAAGGCGGGUCUCUGGGCCGAUAUCGACGCUGAGGAGCGAAAGCGUGGGGAGCGAACAGG